rnacentral:rRNA from 1 species
UCAUUAAAGAGUUCCUAGUAAGCAUGAGUUAUCAACUCACGUUGACUACAUCAUUGCCUUUUGUACACACCAUCUAUCACUCUUACUAAUUGAAUGGUCUGAUGAAGUGUUUAGAUCGUGGCGAUGUGGAUGGUUCACCUAUGAUAUCAUGAUAAGUCCACUAAACCUUAUCAUUUAGAGGAAGGACAAGUCAUAACAAGGUUUUCAUAGGUGAACCUACAAAAGGAUCAUUGUCAAAACUUGCUUAACAAACAACCUGUGAAUAUGCUAACAAAACACCAAAAAGGCAAGGGUGCCAUUAUGCCUUGAGCCCUUUUUGGCCUUGGGCAUGCAUAAUGGUCACUUCAUUCUACCUCUCGAACAGGCGAAACAAUUAGCAUUAUCACCUGUGGCCCAAUAAUGAACCCUUAACACAAAUCAUGCCAAGGAACUGAAAUGAAAAGAGCAUGUGUGUCAUUGCCAUCCUGUUUGCAAUAAGUGCAUAAGUGGCACUUGGACUUCUUUUGUCAUGAAAAACCAAAAUGACUUUCAACAAUGAAUAUUUUAACUCUCGCAUUAAUGAAGAAUGUAGCAAAAUGCGAUACCUGAUGUGAGUUAUAGAAUCCCAUGAACCAUUGAGUCUUUGAACGCAAGUUAUGCCUCAAACAAUUAGGUCAAGGGUACGCCUACCUAGGUGUCAUUCAUCAUUACCCCCUCUAACCCUUAGCUUAUCAGGCUCUGGGUGAGGGGGAGAAAGAUGGCUUUCUGUGAUCUUAUCAGUCGUGGCUGGGCCAAAAGUGAGUAUCUGGCAAUGAUAGUGCCGUGAUCGUCAGUGGUAAAGCUUUUGGUGUGCCUUAUCUCUAGUGAUGCACACUUGUUGUCCAUCCGAACCCCAUCAAACCCCCCAUAUCACUCAAUCAAUGCUUGUAUCAUGACCCUAAGUUAGGUGGGAUUACCCGUUGAGUUUAAGCAUAUCAAUAAGUAAAGGAAAAGAAAAUUACCAUAAUUCCCCUAGUAAUGGCAAGCAAACCAAGAAGAGCCUAGCUUGAGAAUCAAGCACCUCUGGUGUUGAAUUGUAGUAUAAAGAAGCAUCCUUAGUGAUGGACUAGGCCUAAGCCUUGGAAAAAGGCACUAGAGAGGGUGAGAGCCCCGUUGUGCCUAGACCCUGUUGCACCAUGAGGCACUAUAUGCGAGUCAGGUUGUUUGGGAAUGCAGCCCCAAUUGAGAGGUAAAUUCCAUCCAAUGUUGAAAACUUUAUCACCACUAUUGUGAAACACAACACGUGCUAUCUUGGCAUGCCUCGACACUCGUAUGCUCUUGGUGUUGGCCUACAAUCCCUACAUGGCCCAUCUUUAAACAUGGACCAAGAAGUCUGACAUGUGUCUAAGUCAAUGGGCUAGAAACUUAUAAAGUGUAAGGAAGCUAAUUGGUAGGCUCGGGCAAAGCAUCCAUCAGUGUAGAUCUUGGUGGUGGUAGCAAAUAUUCAAAUGAGAACUUUGAAGGUUAAAGAGUGAAAAGGUUCCAUAUAAAUGGCACUUGCAUAUGGUUUAGUCAAUCCUAAGAGAUCGAGAAAGCCUAUCUGAUAGUGCAUCCAACACAAGCUUUAAAAGAGAAUCAGGUUAAAAUUCUUGAACAAAGAUGCAAUAGCUGACAAUAAUAUUAGGGAGUCCAAAGACAUUGAUGGGGGCUUUAAGAAGAGUUAUCUUUUUUGUUUAAUAGCUUGCCCACCUUAGAAACAACCUAGUCGGAGGUAGGGUCUAGUGGCCAAAAGAGCACUGCAUAUCAUGUGGUGUCUAGCAUGCCUGCGAUAGCCUUAAAAAUCCAGAGGACCAAGUGUCAUACGUGCCUAAUCAUACUCAUAACCAUAUCAAGUCUCUAAGGUGAAUAACCUCUGGUUGAUGAAAUAAUAUAGGCAAGGAAAGUCAAUAAAAUGGAUCUGUAAACUCGAGAAAAAGAUUGGCUUUGAGGGCUAGGCACGAGGUUCUUGGUCCUAAAUCCAUUGACUAUUGGUGCACUGCUUGAGCUACUCCCAUGGCAAGAAUGGGUCAUCAUGUGCCAACCAAGGGAUGGAUUGGGAAUGGCUCCCUCAGGGGUGUUCCUUGGUGAUGAACAAUCAAGUCAAAAUUGGUAUGGAUAAAGGGAAUCUAACUGUUUAAUUAAAACAAAACAUUGCAAUGGUCCUUACAGAUACUCAUGUAAUAUGAUUUUUGCCCAGUGCUCUGAAUGUCAAAGUGAAGAAAUUCAACCAAGCACGAGUGAAUGAUGAGAGUAACUAUGACUCUCUUAAGGUAGCCAAAUGCCUCGUUAUCUAAUUAGUGAUACGCAUGAAUGGAUUAAUGAGAUUCCCACUAUCCCUGUCUACUAUCCAGCAAAACCAUAGCCAAGGGAAUAGGCUUGGCAAAAUCAACAGGGAAAGAAGACCCUGUUGCACUUGAUUCUAGUCCAACUUUGUAUAAUGACUUGAGAGGUGUAGGAUAAGUAGGAGCUCUCAGGCCAAUUGAAAUGCCACUACUUUUAAUGUAAUUUUAAUUGUUCUAUGAAUCAAAGAUAGGCAUGACCCCUUCUUUCAGACUUAAAGUCAACUUCGAUUGAUCAAUUUGAGUGAAAAACAUUAUCAAGUGGAGAGUUUAGCUAGGUGGCACAUCUGUUAAAAGAUAACAUAGGUGUCCUAAGAUAAGCGCAACAAGAAUAGAAAUCUCUUGUAGAACAAAAAGGUUAAAGUUCAUUUGAUUAUGAUUUCCAAUAUAAAUAGAACCAUGAAAAGCAUGGCCUAUCAAUCUUUGAGACCUUUAGAAUUUGAAGGUAAAGGUGACAGAAAAGUUAUCACAAGGAUAACUGGCUUGUGCAAGCUAAGUGCUUAUAGCGAUGUUCUCUUUGAUCUUUCGAUAUCGACUCUUCCUAUUAUUGUGAAGUAGAAUUCACCAAGUGUUGGAUUGGUCACCCACCAAUAGGGAAUGUGAGCUAGGUUUAGACUAUCGUGAGACAGGUUAGUUUUACCCUAUUAAUGGCAUCGCAAUAGUAAUUCAACCUAAUAUGAAAAGAAUCAUUGAUUCGCACAAUUGGUCAUUGUGCUUGAUUGAAAAACUAGUGGUGUGAAGCUACCAUGUGCUGGAUUAUGACUGAAUGCCUUUAAGUUAGAAUUUGAGCUAGAAGUGAUGCAUAAACCCAUCGCCCAAUUACUGACCCAUAAUAAGGGUGUAUAGCCCUUGAAGGCACGUUGUAGAUACAACCCUCAUGGUGAACAAGCUGAACAAGCCUCCUUGAAGCUCAAUUCCCAUCGAGCAAUGGGUAGAAUCCCUUACAA